AUCGCUUCUCGGCCUUUUGGCUAAGAUCAAGUGUAGUAUCUGAAUUUUGCCAAUUUUUGUAAGCCGCCCUGAGUCCCCUCGGGUGAGAAGGGUGGGGUAUAAAUAUUGUAAAUAAAUAAAAUAAAUAUGAUAUGAAUGUGUUAAAAUAGAUAUAAUGAAAUUGCAUUCCCUCACCCCAGCUUACAAUCAAUACCCA
ensembl:snRNA U2 U2 spliceosomal RNA